rnacentral:rRNA from 1 species
GGUGAACGCUGGCGGCGUGCUUAAGACAUGCAAGUCGAACGAUCGUCUUCGGACGGUAGUGGCGCACGGGUGAGUAACGCGUAACUGACCUGCCCCCAAGCUCCGAAUAACCCUCCGAAAGGAUGGCUAAUACGGGAUCUGCUGUCCCCUCCUGUCGGGCCAGUCAAGGCUUGACCGCUUGGGGAUGGGGUUGCGUUCCAUGAGCUGGAUGUUGGGGUAAAGGCCUACCAUGGAAACAAUGCAUAACCGGUCUGAGGUGGGGGCCGGUAACCGGGGCACUGAGACACGGGUUCCACUCCUGCGGGAGGCAGCAGUGAGGAAUCGGGAACAAUGCACGAAAGUCGGAGGGAGCGAGGCCGAGUGAGGGGUGAGGGUUGUCGGAUCGUAGGUCUCUGAAUCAGGGAGGAUAGACGCGGAAGCGAGAGGAGGGUACCGGAGUAAUAGCACCGGCUAACUCCGUG